UGCGUAGUGUUGGAGCAGAAUUUCGGGAUA
rnacentral:piRNA from 1 species